rnacentral:misc_RNA from 1 species
UGGUUCCUUUCGUUUCCAAAAGGUAUAAGAAACUUCAUUUUCCAUUCUUCUAUGACAUCAUAAUCCAGGUAUGCAGUUGUGGCACUCACGUUAUUGUUACACAAUGUGUUCAUUUAGAAUUAGUAACUAGAUUAAUUACUUUUUAUCUUUCCGAAAUUAGGAUUUUUUUACUUAGCGGAGACUACUUAUAUAAUAGAAUAGGAUAUAUUUUUUAGGUAAAUUCAAUAUUCCACGUCCUUUUUAAAUUAAAUUAUUCUAAAUCAUUAAAUCAUAUGUUUAUUUAUAAUUAUAUUAUUAUAAAAUGAUUUUAUUAAUUUUAUUUAUAAAUGGCAUAGUAAAUUAAAUUUACUUUAAAAUUUCUCAUAAAAUAAUGAUGUUCUUUUCAUAAUUUUCAUUAUAAUAACAACUCUAAGAAUAAUUAUAUAAGAAAGCACUCUUACACGCCACCCUCUAAAGAGGACCAAAAGCAGUCAAACUAGAAACUAGAUGGGUGGGUAUAUAGGCAUGUCCACAUCUUCUUCGUUAAAAUUUUUAUUUCACUCAGCAAAUAGUAGCGUAGAAAACUGCAUAACUCGUGACAAUGAAGAUCCCACUAGUCUACAACGUCCGUGUCGCACCUCAAUCCACUGGUCCCGGGGACCCACUACAUUGAUAUUUUAUUAUUCUUUCCCUUUCCUUUAUGUACUGGCUUGCAUUUUAAAUUUGGGCCUUCAUAGAAAUUAAUGAAUACAUACCAGUUUUACUAUAAUUAUUAAUUAUAAUAAAUUUUAUCAUAAUUAAUAACUAUAAUUAAAUUAUUAUAUGUAUAAUAGUUAUAUCAGAUGAAAAUUCCUUCCAAAGGCCGUUCUAGGCUUCUAGUAGUUUUUCAGUAUAAACUUGCAGACACCAGUGCAUCAUGCACUGCUCUUACUCUGGCUAAUUCUCAUUGCUUUAAAGAUUGACCACAUUUGUCUAAUAAAUUUCUUUACAUAAACUUGUCAACACCUGUCCAUCAUGCACCUCUCUUACGAGCUUUUGAGCCUCACCAAACUUGAAAGAAAUCAAAAAAUUUUCCCUUCUACAGGUGCCACACUUCAUGCACCAAUCUCGUAAGUUUGUAGGCCUCAUAGGGUCACCUCAUUAAAGUUUAUCUAAUCAAAAGCAGACAAUUCACCUCAAGAAUGUGAGACCCGCAUGGAUAAAUAGUGAAAUGAUCCAUGAUUAAGAAAAGACAUGAAUAAGGCAAAUUCGCUCCAAGGAGAAAGGGCCAAGGGUGGUUCCGGUUCGUGAAGGAAGGGUGCUUAACCGGACCACAUGGAAUCCAUUCGGUUUUGGCGAUUUUAAUUCUGAUUCAAAUCAGAUCAGACCACUAGGUCAAGAUUCAAGAGGCAGAGAUUGGAAUCAAAACUCUCCCAAGAGGGUUCAGUUCCGGCUUAGAUCCAUGAAUAAUUGAAUCUUGGUCUUGAGUUUGUCCAGACCGGUUCAAGAUUCAGCCGGAACCAUGGCUGGGUUUAGCCCCAAGGGAUUGAAAUAAAGUUAAAGAGAUAAAAGGAAAAGAAAAAAAAAAUGAGAGAGAAGGAUAUUUCUAGCUGGCGUAAGGUUCCCAUCAGUCCAAAAGAAAAAGCAACAAAAAAUUGAUUCUUUUCAUGUGAAGAUUUGAAUUAUGGUUUCAUUUGUAUGGUUGCAGGUCGUUAGGAGUGAUAUCAGGA